rnacentral:lncRNA from 1 species
CAUGGCCCAUUCCUCCAUCUUCAAAGCCAGCGCGGUGGAUAAUCCAGGGUAAUCUCCCUAUCUCAAGGCUCUUAUCAACCCAAGGAGGAAACACAGUAUGAACACAAGUUUUCAGAAAAGAAACUUAAGAGCCUGUUGGUGAUCAAAGGGGGACUAGGACUCAGGUUUCUGCUGGAUCCUGUUGUCUCCGUUGCUCUUGCUCCAGACUCUAAUCCAAGGUAGAGUGAGAAAAAUAGCCACUGUGACUGAGGAAUAUUGCUUUAACUUGAAAUGUUUCCCUCAAGCUGUUUCUUAAAUUGUUCUGAAAACUCGGCCUGAACAUUGAAAAUGAUCCAUAAAGGUGAAGCUUAUAUCUAG